UAUGAACGCUGACAGAAUGCUUAACACAUGCAAGUCUACCAAGAAUCACUUCGGUGAGGAAUGGUGGCGGACGGGUGAGUAACGCGUAAAUAAUCUGCCCUUUAGACUGGGAUAUCCUUUGGAAACGAAGGUUAAUACCGGAUAUCAUGAGAUGGACGCAUGUUCAACUUAUGAAAGCUAAAUGCACUAGAGCAGGAGUUUGCGUCCCAUUAGCUAGUUGGUGAGUGAAAGGCUCAACAAGGCCACGAUGGGUAGCCGGCCUGAGAGGGUGAACGGCCACAAGGGAACUGAGACACGGUCCUUACUCCUACGGGAGGCAGCAGUGGGGAAUAUUGGACAAUGGACCAAAAGUCUGAUCCAGCAAUUCUGUGUGCACGAUGAAGGUCUUCGGAUUGUAAAGUGCUUUCAGUAGGGAAGAAAAAAAUGACGGUACCUACAGAAGAAGCGACGGCUAAAUAUGUGCCAGCAGCAGCCGCUG
rnacentral:rRNA from 1 species